UAAGACGAACCGUACGAACGUUAUUCGGAAUUACUGGGCUUAAAGGGUGCGUAGGCUGUGCAGAAAGUUGGGUGUGAAAUCCCUUAGCUUAACUGAGGAACUGCGCCCAAAACUACUGUGCUAGAGGGAGACAGGGGUAAGCGGAACUUACGGUGGAGCGGUGAAAUGUGUUGAUAUCGUAAGGAACACCGGUGGCGAAGGCGGCUUACUGGGUCUCUUCUGACGCUGAGGCACGAAAGCUAGGGGAGCAAACGGGAUUAGAUACCCCGGUAGUCCUAGCUGUAAACGAUGAGCACUUGAUCGAAGGGGUUCCCAUGCCCUUUUGGUCGUAGCGAAAGUGUUAAGUGCUCCGCCUGGGGAGUAUGGCCGCAAGGCUG
rnacentral:rRNA from 1 species